AAACCUAAAGUUCAAACCUUUUUAACUCUUCUACCAUAAAACCCUGACGCUCAAUUUUUUCAUUUCACGUCCGGAUACUUUUUUCUUCUCACACCCUCUCUAAAUUAUAUAUAUAUAUAUAAGCAGCAAAGUUGCAGUCUAGUCUUCUACUCUUUAUUGUAGUCGCUUUGUUUUUUCCUCCUUUAUUUAAUUAAUUAAUUCAAAUUUAAUUUUCCAACAGUUUUUCUUUUUUUUUUUUGGGGAGACGGUUGCUACAGUCGUACGUUUAUCACUGUAGUCGAGACAGCAGGAAGAAAGAAUCGGAAACAGCUUUCCUCUCUGCAACAUCGCAAGCUCUAAUACAUAUGGCAGCGAACGCCCCCUCUGCACCACGAUCACCUCCGUCUGCCUCAAAUUCUGGAACUUCCCCAUCUCAACCUACCUCCCCAUUGCCCCCUAAGGUUUCCGCUUUCUUUCUCUCUCUGCUAUAUUUGUUUACAUGUACAUACAAACAUGUUUAUAUGCAUAUAUGUGUACAUGUACAUGAGUUUAAUCUUUGCAUUUAUAAGGUUGAAAUUCCUAGCAAUAAUGGAGUACAUAAUGUGUUCGAGGAAAAGCCUGACUUAGCUAGCCAUUUCGAGUAAGUUCUUUUCCUCCCUUUUAUCUUCGUUGCAGUUAUUUUCUUUGAAUUUCGCCAUGUUCGAAUCCUUUUAGGCUAAGUCAAGGUUUCAUUGUUCAAAAAUUGAAAGUUGGGAAUUUGAUUAUGUCACAAUAGUUGGGUCAUAAAAAAUGGAAUUAGGGCUUCUUGAUUCUUCGAGUGGGUAUCUUUUGUAUCUUAGCUAGUUCAAGACUUGUGUGUCUUUGGAUUCUGUUCAACUGACAUCCCUCCCAGCCUGCUACAUAACAGAGGAACGGAAAGAUCCAUAAAGUGAUAUACUAGACUGAUGAGGGAAUGUGUUGAUCUGCUUUCCUCC
rnacentral:lncRNA from 1 species